AUGGCAGUGGAGUCAUGCGUUGCACUGGAAGAAAUUAACAAAGAUCUGGAGAUGCCCACCAACCAAGAGAAGACAUGUCCAAGCUGUCCUGUGGUCCAGUGAGUGGCAGAUCCACACUUAGAUGGAUGCAACCUUGAAUUAACUGACUAGAUUAGUAAAAGAAGUCUACCCAGAAGCUAGAAAGAAGGGCACAAACUUCAAUUUUGCAGUUGUUUUAUGGAUCUUAAAAGACAUUGCUAUCAAGUAAAGGAAACUGGAAGUGUCAUGUCUGGUAGAAAAGGGGUGAAUGAUGAAUAACCCUAAAGUGGCAGCAGUUCCAAAUAGAUUAUUUGCACAUAGCAAUUACUCCUCCAAACCAGGCACCACUUCUCUCAGGGCACAUGAGACCAU
rnacentral:lncRNA from 1 species